UUUUCUUUCCUGUCUUCUUUUUUGACUUGUUGCCUUUUUUCUUUGCCAUUUCUGCAGUUUUUUCACAGAGAAAGGAAUGAAUGAAGAAGAAGAAAGCAAAGUUC
rnacentral:ribozyme from 12 species